rnacentral:tRNA from 1 species
GACCCUGUCGUUCAAAGGAUAGGACACUCGCCUUUCAAGUGAGCAAUGCCGGGUUCAAGUCCCGCCGGGGUCGCCA